AGUCAACGCUGGCGGCGUGCCUAACACAUGCAAGUCGAACGCGAAAGCGGAGCAAUCCGCAAGUAGAGUGGCAAACGGGUGAGUAACGCGUGGGCGACCUACCUCUGAGUGGGGGAUAACCUUCCGAAAGGAGGGCUAAUACCGCAUGACAUCCCGUGUUUAGAUACACGGACAUCAAAGCCGGGGAUCGCAAGACCUGGCGCUUGGAGAGGGGCCCGCGUCCGAUUAGCAGUUGGUGAGGUAACGGCUCACCAAGGCUCCGAUCGGUAUCCGGCCUGAGAGGGCGGACGGACACACUGGGACUGAGACACGGCCCAGGACUCCUACGGGAGGCAGCAGUGGGGAAUUGGUUCGCAAUGGGCGCAAGCCUGACGACGCAACGCCGCGUGGAGGAUGAAGAUCUUCGGAUCGU
rnacentral:rRNA from 1 species